CCAUCGAUGUCACUUAGUUCCUCUAGGUUUGUCUCCGCCACUUGCCCGAUACAUACUCUGCCAUCAUAAGCCGCUAUCAUAGUGAAGCUCGCAAAGGCAAGUAAAAAUCAAGGUGACCCCAAGAAAAUGGCUCCUCCCCCAAAGGAGGUAGAAGAAGAUAGUGAAGAUGAGGAAAUGUCAGAAGAUGAAGAUGAUGACAGCAGUGAAGAAGAGGUUAUCAUCCCUCAGAAGAAAGGCAAGAGGGCUACUGCAACCUCAGCAAAGAAGGUGGUGGUUUCUCCACCAAAAAGGUUGCAGUUGCCACACCUUCGAAGAAAGCAGCUGUCACCCCAGGCAAAAAGGCAGCAGCCACACCGGCCAAGAAGAUGGUCACAUCAGCCAACGCAGUUGUGACACCUGGCAAAAAGGGAGCCACACAAGGCUCCCUGGUAGCAACCCCUGGUAAGGAGGGAGCUGCCACCCCAGCCAAGGGGGCAAAGGAUGGCAAGAAUGCCAAGACGGAAGACAGUGAUGACGAGGAGGAUGACAGCAAGGAGGACGACGAGGAUGAUGAUGAAGAGGAGGAGGAAUUUGAACGAGCAGUGAUUAAAGCAGCAGCUGCUGCCCCUGCCUCACAGGAUAAGGACUAUGAGGAUGAUGAAGAUGAAGAGGAUGAGGAUGAUGAUGAUGAUGAAGAAGAUGACUCCGAAGAAGGAUCUAUGGAGACCACACCAGCCAAAGGAAAGAAAACUGCAAAAGCUGUACCUGUGAAAGCUAAGAGCACACCUGAGGAUGAAAAAUGAAGAGGAGGAAGAUGAGGAUGAGGAUGAUGAUGAGGAAGAGGAGGAGGAGGAAGAACCUGUCAAAGAAGCACCUGGAAAACGAAAGAAGGAAAUGACCAAACAGAAAGCAGCUCCUGAAGCCAAGAAACAGAAAGUGGGAGCCACAGAACCAACU